rnacentral:rRNA from 1 species
GAUGAGCAUGCGUCCCAUUAGCUAGUUGGUAAGGUAACGGCUUACCAAGGCUACGAUGGGUAGGGGUCCUGAGAGGGAGAUCCCCCACACUGGUACUGAGACACGGACCAGACUCCUACGGGAGGCAGCAGUGAGGAAUAUUGGACAAUGGGCGCAAGCCUGAUCCAGCCAUGCCGCGUGCAGGAUGACGGUCCUAUGGAUUGUAAACUGCUUUUAUACGAGAAGAAACACUCCUUCGUGAAGGAGCUUGACGGUAUCGUAAGAAUAAGGAUCGGCUAACUCCGUGCCAGCAGCCGCGGUAAUACGGAGGAUCCAAGCGUUAUCCGGAAUCAUUGGGUUUAAAGGGUCCGUAGGCGGUUUAAUAAGUCAGUGGUGAAAGCCCAUCGCUCAACGGUGGAACGGCCAUUGAUACUGUUAGACUUGAAUUAUUAGGAAGUAACUAGAAUAUGUAGUGUAGCGG